rnacentral:rRNA from 1 species
UCGAGGAUCUUCGGCAAUGGGCGCAAGCCUGACCGAGCGACGCCGCGUGUGCGAUGAAGGCCUUCGGGUUGUAAAGCACUGUCGAGGGGGAGGAAGCCGCAAGGUUGACCUAUCCCUGGAGGAAGCACGGGCUAAGUUCGUGCCAGCAGCCGCGGUAAGACGAACCGUGCGAACGUUGUUCGGAAUCACUGGGCUUAAAGGGCGCGUAGGCGGGUCGGCCGGUCCGGGGUGAAAGCCCCCAGCUCAACUGGGGAAGAGCCUUGGAUACCGCCGGUCUCGAGGAAGGUAGGGGCACGUGGAACUUCGGGUGGAGCGGUGAAAUGCGUUGAUAUCCGAAGGAACGCCGGUGGCGAAAGCGACGUGCUGGACCUUUUCUGACGCUGAGGCGCGAAAGCCAGGGGAGCGAACGG